rnacentral:lncRNA from 1 species
CACUAGAACAUAUGCUGGAGUUUUGUCUCACUGUCUCCUCUCCUCCUCAGGUUUCCAUGGGUAUAGCUGUUUUUGAUCUCAGUUCAUCUGCCUUACUGCAGUGUUUUUCUUGCUGUUGGAGGGGUUCUGCUAUUUCUGCCUCUCCUUUUCACCCUGCAGCCCCAAUUCCUUCUCCUUUUCCCCAGAAAGGUACUGGGGAAUUACAGUAGCAAAAAUAACAGUUUGUAGAGGCUCAAAAUAAUUUAUUCUCCCAAUGGCUUCCUUCUUUUUACUUUUGUUCAUUAUCCUAGAGACCUCCCUUGCUUCCCUUUUUGGCUCUCUCCCUUGCAUCUCCUGUGCUUCCCAUUUCUGCAGGCCCUAGAGCUAGACACGUGCCUGGGCUCAGGCCACCUGCUACAGAUGUUUGAGAUAUAGCCUAGAUAUAAUAAGGUGCUUGUCCACCUCUGCUACUUACAAUAUCACAAACAGAAGGAAAAAAAUUUCUACACUCCAAAUAUAUUUCUACACAUCUACGUUUCUAUAUUCCUCCAGGUGACUUCAUUUGCCACUUUCUGAUUGCUCUGCUAAAGCACAUGUAACCUGCUCAGUUGGUUCUCCUGCUGGAGUAUCUCCAUGCUGCUGCUGGCCAGCCCAUGCAGGCAGUGCCCUCCCUGAUACUCACAACUCAGCUGCUCUUCUUGCCUUAUUUAAGCAGCCAUUCAAUAUAUACUUUGAAUGAUUCUGAGGUCCGUUCAGCAGGAACUGCUGUGGUAGUAAGAAGUGUCAGUUGCACCAGCCUCCUUGUCCUUUCCCCUUCUUGGUUUUCCAGAGGAACAGUGCUUUCCUGCCCAGACUAUCAUCCCUCACUAGAGGUCAUUGCAUUCCUUUCUGCUUAUAAAAUUUUUGGUAUUCAGCAGCUUCAUCGUGCCAUGUAGUGGAUAAAGGAGAAUAUAGGAGAUAAAUCUGCACAUAAAAAGAAUAAGGAGAAAACUAAAAGGAUGUAGCAGUACAU